rnacentral:rRNA from 1 species
AACGUAGGACACAAGCGUUAUCCGGAAUUACUGGGCGUAAAGGGCUCGUAGGCGGCCAACUAAGUCAGACGUGAAAUCCCUCGGCUUAACCGGGGAACUGCGUCUGAUACUGGAUGGCUUGAGUUUGGGAGAGGGAUGCGGAAUUCCAGGUGUAGCGGUGAAAUGCGUAGAUAUCUGGAGGAACACCGGUGGCGAAGGCGGCAUCCUGGACCAACACUGACGCUGAGGAGCGAAAGCCAGGGGAGCAAACGGGG